rnacentral:rRNA from 1 species
ACACGUACGCAACCUUCCUUUAAGCGGGGAAUAGCCCAGGGAAACUUGGAUUAAUACCCCAUAAGACAGUGGUGUGGCAUCACACAGCUGUUAAAGCUCCGGCACUUAAAGAUGGGCGUGCGGCUGAUUAGGUAGUUGGCGGGGUAACGGCCCACCAAGCCGACGAUCAGUAACUGGUGUGAGAGCACGACCAGUCACACGGGCACUGAGACACGGGCCCGACUCCUACGGGAGGCAGCAGUAAGGAAUAUUGGUCAAUGGACGCAAGUCUGAACCAGCCAUGCCGCGUGGAGGAUGAAGGCCCUCUGGGUUGUAAACUUCUUUUAUUUGGGAAGAAACCUAUAUUUUCUAAUGUAGUUGACGGUACCAAGUGAAUAAGCACCGGCUAACUCCGUGCCAGCAGCCGCGGUAAUACGGAGGGUGCAAGCGUUAUCCGGAUUCACUGGGUUUAAAGGGUGCGUAGGUGGGCAAGUAAGUCAGUGGUGAAAUCUUUGGGCUUAACCCGAAAACUGCCGUUGAUACUAUUUGUCUUGAAUGUAGUGGAGGUGAGCGGAAUAUGUCAUGUAGCGGUGAAAUGCUUAGAUAUGACAUANAACACCGAUUGUGAAGACAGCUCGCU